UUGAUUACAGUAACUUCAUAUUUAUAGCUCCAAAAACCAAGAAGCAUCGAGGACGAACAAAGUUGGUUAAGGUUCAUAAUCGUACAAAAAAAGAACGCCCUUUUCUUAUUAUGAACUCUAAUGGGCAGCCAAUUGGACCCACAAAUGAGAUGGUUCAAGAAUUUGCUCGCUUUUUGGGAACAGUGUCAAAAAAUCCUUGAGCAGAAUGGUGAACAAGAAUUAUCUUACGGGACACACUUGUUAAAUCAGGUACAUCAAGGAGAGGAAAAUGUAUCACAUGAAGAACAAUUGCAGUCGCACGAAUGACAAUUUUUGGGCGUUGGAUCUUGCUUAAAAGUGGAGCAUGGUUUUGGAAUUAAUUAGGCAACUAGCUAGUAAUCUUAUUUAAUGGACAUAUAUUAACGCUAGAAGUAGAUAUUUUUUGGUGCAUAUAUAUUAGGUUGGAAGUAAAUAUAUUAGGUGAUGGAAUUUAUCUUGGGAUUUGAUAUAUAUGCGAUAGUACUAUAUUAAGUACUUGGUGUUGGAAAUUGUCAAACGAUUGGAUGAACUUGAAUAUAUUUAUGGGUCUUUUUGGAAAUCUAAA